UAUUAAACAAGCAAGAGUUUUUGGUGGAUGCCUUGGGUCUGGAAGUCGAUGAAGGACGUGAUUACCUGCGAUAAGCCUCGGUUAGCUGGAAAUAAGCUGUUAUCCGGGGAUUUCCGAAUGGGGAAACCUAAUUGAGCUAAUCCUCAAUUAUCAUAUCGAUGAAUUCAUAGUCGAAUGAAGAGACACGCUGUGAAUUGAAACAUCUCAGUAGCAGCAGGAAGAGAAAAUAAAGAAUGAUUCCCUAAGUAGUGGCGAGCGAACGGGGAAGAGCCCAAACCAACACAUGUUGUUGGGGUUGUAGGACUGCGACAUGGAUUAAUGAAUUUGUACAUAGCAGAAUAAGUUGGAACGCUUAAACAUAGAGGGUGAAAUUCCCGUAAGCGAAAUGUAUAAAUCUCCUAGCAGUAUCCUGUUCUUAACAUGUGAUGGAGUGACGGGGAAGGAUAAUUUUACCACUAAUUGGAUUGUGGGGUAAGUAACAACUGGGUUAUGUAGGCAAAUCCGCAUAACUUAACUGGGAGUUACGACGCAUAGCAAAAGGGCAACUGAGUAGCGAAUUAGAUGAUUUCAUGCCUCUUAAAAAAGCUUCUAACAUUAAGUGUUAGGAAACCCGUACCGAGAACGGACACACGUCCCCAAGAUGAGUAUUCUAAGGCGAGCGAGAAAACUAUUGUCAAGGAACUCUGCAAAUUCAUCCCGUAAGUUCGCAAGAAGGGAUGCCCACAAUAAAAUGUGGGCCGCAGUGAAUAGUAAGGGGGGGGAAGCCCCCUCAAAGAUUAGUAUUCCCUUUAAAAUUCCUUAUAGACUAUGAGGUGAGCAUCUUUACUCGUAGUGCGGGUACGGGCCAUACAUCCACAUCGCUAGAGGCUUUUCUCGACAGUACUAGAUCACCAACUUCACCCCAAUCGGGCUACGCAUCACGCCUUACCUCUAAGAAGGCUCUGACUCCGUCGAUUGAGACGAAGGCUGAGUUUGCGAAGGGUUCGAAGCCGCGUGUUGUUAAUGGUGCGGUUGUUACUGACACUGUGACCUAUGAGGGUCUGGUUGCUGGUAAGAAGUACCACCUGGAUGCGAAGCUGAUGUCUAAGGAUGGCGAGACUGUCCUGGGUACUGGUGAGGCUGAGUUCACUGCUGCUGAGAGUGGUAGUGGUUCCACCACGGUUGAUAUCACUGUGAAGAAUGCUGAGCAGCCGGUUGAUGCUGCUGUGGCGUUUGAGGAGUUGACCUCUGUGGAGGUUAAUGCUGAUGGUGAUGAGACUCCGGGUGCUGAGACUCCGAACAAGAUUGCUGACCACAAGAAUCUUGAGGAUGAGGCUCAGACUGUUACCUCUAAGAAGGCUCUGACUCCGUCGAUUGAGACGAAGGCUGAGUUUGCGAAGGGUUCGAAGCCGCGUGUUGUUAAUGGUGCGGUUGUUACUGACACUGUGACCUAUGAGGGUCUGGUUGCUGGUAAGAAGUACCACCUGGAUGCGAAGCUGAUGUCUAAGGAUGGCAAGUCUGUCCUGGGUGAUGGUGAGGCUGAGUUCACUGCUGCUGAGGGUGGUAGUGGUUCCACCACGGUUGAUAUCACUGUGAAGAAUGCUGAGCAGCCGGUUGAUGCUGCUGUGGCGUUUGAGGAGUUGACCUCUGUGGAGGUUAAUGCUGAUGGUGAUGAGACUCCGGGUGCUGAGACUCCGAACAAGAUUGCUGACCACAAGAAUCUUGAUGGCAUGUCCUGGACCCGAAGCGGGGUGAUCUACCCAUGGCCAGUGUGAAGCAGCUGUAAGAGGUUGUGGAGGCGCGAACCCACGUAGGUUGAAAACUGCGGGGAUGAGCUGUGGGUAGGGGUGAAAGGCCAAUCAAACUCCGUGAUAGCUGGUUCUCCCCGAAAUGCAUUUAGGUGCAGCGUCGCAUUAGCUUGGUGGAGGUAGAGCUACUGGUUGGUUGAGCGGGACUACAAUCUUAGCAAUGUCAGCCAAACUCCGAAUGCCAUCAAUUGUGUUGUGCGGCAGUGAGACUGUGGGGGAUAAGCUUCAUAGUCGAGAGGGAAACAGCCCAGAUCGCCGGUUAAGGCCCCUAAGGGUGUGCUAAGUGGAAAAGGAUGUGGGAUCGCGAAGACAGCCAGGAGGUUGGCUUAGAAGCAGCCAUCCUUGAAAGAGUGCGUAAUAGCUCACUGGUCGAGUGGUCCUGCGCCGACAAUGUAGUGGGGCUCAAGCACACCGCCGAAGCCGCGGCAAACAUUUUUGUUUGGGUAGGGGAGCGUCGUGCAUGUGUGGAAGCGUUACCGUGAGGGGGCGUGGAGUGUGUGCGAGUGAGAAUGCAGGCAUGAGUAACGAAUUGGAAGGUGAGAAUCCUUCCCGCCGGAUGACUAAGGGUUCCUGGGUCAAGUUCGUCUUCCCAGGGUGAGUCGGGACCUAAGGCGAGGCCGACAGGCGUAGUCGAUGGAUAACCAGUUGAUAUUCUGGUACCCGUAUGUCCGCGCCCAUGAUAAAGCACUGAUACUAACCACCGC
rnacentral:rRNA from 1 species